rnacentral:lncRNA from 1 species
AUGAAUGAAAGGCUAUUCAUUUUUCUAGAAUAUUUGUCAGUCCAGGAAAAUCACCAGGGUACCCUCUGUCCCAAUCAGAAGUCCCACUUCUCCGGCCAAGGGGCUAAGAUCCCUGGGUCCCUGAAGAGGAAAUAUACCAUGUAUGCACCGCAAAACCAUGCAGGAGGGACGAAGGAGCCAGCCUCUGGGGAGUCCCUUGUUAACACCUGUGUCCUUCUGAGGCAGAAGUCUAGGGGUGGAACAUCUCUCAACAUCACACCAGAGAAUUUCAACAGAAAAUAGAAUUACAAGCUGGUGUCAUAAAAACCUGGGACUUUUCCCUUCUCAACCAAGAGGCAACUGAAAGCGGAGCAGGAAAGUGUCAGAUUCUGCAAGCGCAGGCUGCGGUCUCUCCUGUUCUUCCCAAUUCCCUGCAUCUUUGCUGAUGGAGUCCUGUUCUAGGCUGCCAGGCCAGACUCUAAGGAUCAGAGCAACACUCAAAGGCCUGCACUGCCCAGAAAUGAGGAGGAAAAGAGCUCAGCCCCGCCCAUACUGUGUGCCAGUGGGGAUGGGCAGCUCAACUUGUGUCCAGGAAAUCUCGUCUGUCUCUUAUCGGGCGCGUGGUCUUUGAUAAAGCAUUUCGGGACAGGCAUAGUGGUGACUUCCUGUAAUUCCAGCAUUUGGAGAGCAGAAGCAGAAGUAUCACUGCACGUUCAAGGCCAACCUGGUCUACACAGCAAGUGCUGGGGCUAACCAGUUCUAUAAAAGACCCUCUUUUAAAACAAACAAACAAACAAACAAAUCAAGGAGCUGGAGAGAUGGCUCAUGACUGCUCUUCCAGAGGUCCUGAAUUGAGUCCCUAGCAACCACAUGGUGGCUCACAGCUAUAAUGGGAUCCAGUACCGUCUUCUGCUGUGACUGAAGA